UCUGAGGUGAGGAAAUCAUUCUGGCUGUUGCUAAAAUGCCCCCCUCCUGUUUCGUUGAGCCUUUCGUCCAACACUACCACCACAAGACACGAUUCAAUUACACAGCCGAGUAGGCAAGCAGUGAGACCGGGGAGGGGUAGGUCAGCACAUAAGAAACCAUGCCACAGCUCAGCAUGAAGUCACAAGAUCGAUGCAUACUGGAGUGUAGGGUGCCUGACGAAAGCUAAGGCAAGCUGACUUGCUUAUGCCAGGUUUAUCUAGGGGGCCAGGGGAUGGAGCAGCAGGAAUGGGCCCGACUGAUGCUUGGAGCUUUGCGGUCUCCUCUAACAACCUGGCUCCCGGGUUGCUGUUUUUCAAAGGAAACUGGCUCAAGUCGAAGCAUUUGGCUAGUUCCUCUGCACAGACUGUCCUUUCAGCCCCACUCUGACCACACCAGAGCCCAGGCCAUGGGCACAGGGGGCUGGGAAGGGGCGUGGGUGACCGAACACAAUGCCCUCUUUCUCCAUAAAUACCCCUCCCAAACACCCCACCCUACAGGCAAUGAGCAAGAAGUGCCAGAAGCCUGCAGCAAGUGAAUUCAGUCACAAAGAGGUAGUUACAUUCACAUUGCAAAUAAGAAGUCAAACAGGAAGAAACUGUCCAAACAAACAGGACUUUAACUGAAAUGCUAUUAAAGGUGAAAUGAAGCAAACAAGCAAACAUA